UCCAACACCGCACAGUCGAUCAAACUACUGCAAAUCGACCACAAGGCGGCAAUAUGUCCCACUAAUAACAAUUCACCUUACACGCGAUGCUUCUUUCCCUGCAACAGUUUAAGGUAAACGUGUUUUUAGUUCAAAAAUGUACACCGACUCAGCCAUGCUAAUCAGAAUCAGCUUUAAUGGCCAAGUUCACAGAUGAAACUUUGGGAAAACGGAGACUAUUGAACGAGCCAGGGAACCAUAGCGCUGCCUGCGUCGGUGGGUCAAUGGAAGAUCGGCCAAUAGAGACGAAAACGGUUUACCCUCGUUCACAUUCAAAGCCUCUUUCACAUGGAUUCCACCUUCAACUUCACUGUAAGACUGGCGGACGUCAGAAAAGCACGCAACGCCAAACGUCUCUUCGGAGGAGCGAAGGGGAGAACAGAAGUGAAGCUGCUCCUGUGGAGUACAAUUAACUCGAAAUUGCUGCUUUACCCUCUUGACCCGUCGAGGAUUUUACCUAAAACUGCUUUGAGCCUCCCUCAGUCUGAGGCUAUGAGAGGGAGAGAGGAGUCCCAGGCCGCACCAUCAUGCUACUUCUGAGACGCUGGGAUGAGACUUUGGCUGGCAAAA